CCCCCCCAGGUGCUGGUGCUGCGGCGCGGCUGGGACACGGCGCUCCAGGCCCUGAACGUCACCAUGAGAACCGGCACCGACACGGCACCGUGACAACACCGGCACCGCCAACAACACCGACACCAACACCGGCACCGGGACCAACAACACUGACACCAACAACACCGACACCAACAGCACCAACACCGGCAGCAACACCACCAAGACUGGCACCAACAACACCAACACCAACAACACCAACACUGACACCAAGACUGGAAGCAACACCAACACCAACAACACCGACGCCAACACUGACACCAACACUGACACCAACACUGACACCAACACCAACAACACCAACAACGGAACCAACAACACCAACACUGACACCAACACCGGAACCAACACCAACAACACCGACACUGACACCAAGACUGGAACCAACACCGACACCACCAACACUGACACCAACACCGACACCAACACCGGAACCAACACCAACAACACCGACACCAACAGCACCAACACUGACACCAAGACCAGAACCAACACCGACACCAACAGCACCAACACUGACACCGGCACCGACACCAACAACACCAACACCAACAACGGAACCAACACCAACAACACCAACACCGACACCAACAGCACUGACACCAACAACACCAACACUGACACCAACACCGGAACCAACACCACCAACACCGACACCAACAACACCGACACCACCAACACCGACACCACCAACACCGACACCAACAACACCGACACCACCAACACCAACACUGACACCAACACCGGAACCAACAACACCAACACCAACAACACCGACACCAACAACACCGA
rnacentral:lncRNA from 1 species